GUCGAUGGUAGCUGUGCGCAGGGCACCUUCGGGUGCGCCGGGUUUUGCUUUCGUUCUACCGGUCUACUAACCUGCGUACAGCUGCCGCCCCU
rnacentral:antisense_RNA from 1 species